rnacentral:tRNA from 1 species
GCCGGUGUAGCUCAAUUGGUAGAGCAGCGCUUUUGUAAAGCGAAGGUUGGAGGUUCGAGUCCUCUCACCGGCU